GUGGUUGUGGCUCAGUGGUAGAGUGCUUGCCUCGCAUGUGUGAGUCACUGGGUACAAGUCUCAGCACCACA
rnacentral:tRNA from 1 species